UGCCGGACCCCACUGCUAUCGGGAUGGGACUAAGACAUGCUAGUCGAGCGUCUCCAAGCUAUGGAAGAGACGCGGCACACAGCUCAGUAACACGUGGCUAACCUGCCCUUGGGACAAGGACAACUCCGGGAAACUGGGGCUAAUCCCUGAUAAGUGAGAACUCCUGGAAUGGAUUCUCGCUCAAAGGACGUUUAGACCAUGCUUCUAGGCGUCGCCCAAGGAGGGGGCCGCGACCGAUCAGGUUGUUGGUGAGGUAACGGCUCACCAAGCCUUUAACCGGUACGGGCCGUGAGAGCGGAAGCCCGGAGAUGGGCACUGAGACAAGGGCCCAGGCCCUACGGGGCGCAGCAGUCGCGAAAACUCCGCAAUACACGAAAGUGUGACGGGGCUAUCCCGAGUGCCAUCCGCUGAGGAUGGCUUUUCCCCAGUGUAUAAAGCUGGGGGAAUAAGGAGAGGGCAAGCCUGGUGUCAGCCGCCGCGGUAAUACCAGCUCUCCGAGUGGUGGGGAUGUUUAUUGGGCCUAAAGCAUUCGUAGCCUGCUUGGCAAGUCCUCCGUUAAAUCCAACGAUUCAAUCGUUGGGCUGCGGGGGAUACUGUCCAGCUAGGGGGCGGGAGAGGCCGACGGUAUCCCCGGGGUAGGGGUGAAAUCCUAUAAUCCCGGGAGGACCACCAGGGGCGAAGGCUGUCGGCUAGAACGCGCUCGACGGUGAGGGAUGAAAGCUGGGGGAGCGAACCGGAUUAGAUACCCGGGUAGUCCCAGCUGUAAACGAUGCAGGCUAGGUGUUGGCGCGGCUACGUGCCGCUCCAGUGCCGCAGGGAAGCCGUUAAGCCUGCCGCCUGGGAAGUACGGCCGCAAGGCUGAAACUUAAAGGAAUUGGCGGGGGAGCACCACAAGGUGUGAAGCUUGCGGUUUAAUUGGAUUCAACGCCGGA
rnacentral:rRNA from 1 species